AUACGGAGGGGGCAAGCGUUGUUCGGAAUUAUUGGGCGUAAAGGGCACGCAGGCGGCUAGGCAAGUUGGUGGUGAAAGCCCUCGGCUCAACCGAGGAAUUGCCCCCAAAACUGCCUAGCUUGAGUCCCGGAGAGGGUGACGGAAUUCCCAGUGUAGCGGUGAAAUGCGUAGAUACUGGGAGGAACACCAGUGGCGAAGGCGGUCACCUGGACGGGUACUGACGCUGAGGUGCGAAAGCGUGGGGAGCAAACAGGAUUAGAAACCCCAGUAGUCC
rnacentral:rRNA from 1 species